rnacentral:rRNA from 1 species
GACGAACGCUGGCGGCGUGCUUAACACAUGCAAGUCGUACGGUAAGGCCCUUUCGGGGGUCCACGAGUGGCGAACGGGUGAGUAACACGUGAGUAACCUGCCCACAACUUUGGGAUAACGCUAGGAAACUGAUGCUAAUACUGGAUAUGUGCUCCUGCUGCAUGGUGGGGGUUGGAAAGCUCCGGCGGUUGUGGAUGGACUCGCGGCCUAUCAGCUUGUUGGUGGGGUAGUGGCCUACCAAGGCGGCGACGGGUAGCCGGCCUGAGAGGGUGACCGGCCACAUUGGGACUGAGAUACGGCCCAGACUCCUACGGGAGGCAGCAGUGGGGAAUAUUGCACAUUGGGCGCAAGCCUGAUGCAGCAACGCCGCGUGCGGGAUGACGGCCUUCGGGUUGUAAACCGCUUUCAGCAGGGACGAAGCUUUUUGUGACGGUACCUGCAGAAGAAGCACCGGCUAACUACGUG